rnacentral:rRNA from 1 species
UAGGGAAUCUUCGGCAAUGGACGGAAGUCUGACCGAGCAACGCCGCGUGAGUGAAGAAGGUUUUCGGAUCGUAAAGCUCUGUUGUAAGAGAAGAACGAGUGUGAGAGUGGAAAGUUCACACUGUGACGGUAUCUUACCAGAAAGGGACGGCUAACUACGUGCCAGCAGCCGCGGUAAUACGUAGGUCCCGAGCGUUGUCCGGGUUUAUUGGGCGUAAAGCGAGCGCAGGCGGUUAGAUAAGUCUGAAGUUAAAGGCUGUGGCUUAACCAUAGUAGGCUUUGGAAACUGUUUAACUUGAGUGCAAGAGGGGAGAGUGGAAUUCCAUGUGUAGCGGUGAAAUGCGUAGAUAUAUGGAGGAACACCGGUGGCGAAAGCGGCUCUCUGGCUUGUAACUGACGCUGAGGCUCGAAAGCGUGGGGAGCAAACAGGAUUAGAUACCCUGGUAGUCCACGCUGUAAACGAUGAGUGCUAGGUGUUAGACCCUUUCCGGGGUUUAGUGCCGUAGCUAACGCAUUAAGCACUCCGCCUGGGGAGUACGACCGCAAGGUUG